rnacentral:rRNA from 1 species
UACGAAGGGGGCUAGCGUUGUUCGGAUUUACUGGGCGUAAAGGGCGCGUAGGCGGCCUGCUAAGUCGAACGUGAAAUCCCUGGGCUCAACCCAGGAACUGCGUCCGAUACUGGUUGGCUUGAAUCCGGGAGAGGGAUGUGGAAUUCCAGGUGUAGCGGUGAAAUGCGUGAGAUAUCUGGAGGAACACCGGUGGCGAAGGCGACAUCCUGGACCGGCAUUGACGGCUGAGG